CUGCUGCUCUGCACACUGACUCCUUCACCAGGGAUCGCUCUGAAAAUAUUUUAUGAAGUCCUUUCAACUACCACUGUUCUGCACACUGACUCCUUCACCAGGAAUUUUUCCAGAAAUAUUUUACCAGAUCUUCUCAAUCCAACUAUUACUGCCCUGAAGCUCUAACAUC